CUUGGAGAGUUUGAUCCUGGCUCAGGAUGAACGCUGGCGGCGUGCCUAAUACAUGCAAGUCGAACGCACAGCGAAAGGUGCUUGCACCUUUCAAGUGAGUGGCGAACGGGUGAGUAACACGUGGACAACCUGCCUCAAGGCUGGGGAUAACAUUUGGAAACAGAUGCUAAUACCGAAUGAAACUUAGUGUCGCAUGAUAUGAAGUUAAAAGGCGCUUUGGCGUCACCUAGAGAUGGAUCCGCGGUGCAUUAGUUAGUUGGUGGGGUAAAGGCCUACCAAGACAAUGAUGCAUAGCCGAGUUGAGAGACUGAUCGGCCACAUUGGGAAUGAGACACGGCCCAAACUCCUACGGGAGGCUUGCAGUAGGGAAUCUUCCACAAUGGGCGAAAGCCUGAUGGAGCAACGCCGCGUGUGUGAUGAAGGCUUUCGGGUCGUAAAGCACUGUUGUAUGGGAAGAACAGCUAGAAUAGGGAAUGAUUUUAGUUUGACGGUACCAUACCAGAAAGGGAUGGCUAAAUACGUGCCAGCAGCCGCGGUAAUACGUAUGUCCCGAGCGUUAUCCGGAUUUAUUGGGCGUAAAGCGAGCGCAGACGGUCGAUUAAGUCUGAUGUGAAAGCCCGGAGCUCAACUCCGGAAUGGCAUUGGAAACUGGUUAACUUGAGUGCAGUAGAGGUAAGUGGAACUCCCAUGUGUAGCGGUGGAAUGCGUAGAUAUAUGGAAGAACACCAGUGGCGAAGGCGGCUUAUCUGGAUCUGUAACUGACGC
rnacentral:rRNA from 1 species